CGCCAACCAUCCAACGCGAAUUUCACUGUCGGCCGCGGGUGCAGGCUUGCAGCUGUUGCUUUCAUUGUGAUGUGUUUUCUACUACUUUCGGAUAAAGAAUAAUUGCGAGUGUUCAAUUCGUGUUUAUGGACUUUAUAUUAACGAAAUAGAGAAAAUAAACGUGUUUCCAGUAGCGUCUUGUCCAACUAUUUGAGAGCAUGUUACAAUAUCAAAUUUAUGUCCAUCCGCACAACAACGCUCGAAUUACUUCACAGUCGGUAUUUAGGCGCGGUUGCCGCGAUACCUUCAUUGCCUUCAACAUGAGAUGUGCUUUUCCGGCGUUCUUUUCGAUUGGUUGAAGUUAUACUUUUGAUUGGUUGAAGUCUAGUUAUUUUUCGUGUCAUUUUGCCGAUAGUGAGGUCGAAUAUGUUGAGGAUAUAUUUUACCCUUGCCGCCAUCGAUCACGUUGAGUUUGCUGAGUCAGAUUUCAGUUAUUAAUUUAUGUCUAGGGUAGAUUUAGCUACUCGCAGGAGCAUGUAUUUUACAAAUAUGUUGUGUAUGGUCAGCGUGGUUAAAUAAAUUUUUAAAUUAAGUAAGUAAGUAAGUAUAUGUAUAAGGCUAAAUUAU